rnacentral:piRNA from 1 species
UUAACCAAGAAAUGGGCAUCUUCUC